rnacentral:rRNA from 1 species
CCUACGGGAGGCAGCAGUGGGUAAUAUUGCACAAUGGGGGAAACCCUGAUGCAGCGACGCCGCGUGAGUGAAGAAGUAUUUCGGUAUGUAAAGCCCUAUCAGCAGGGAAGAAAAUGACGGUACCUGAUUACGAAGCCCCGGUUAACUACGUGCCAGCAGCCGCGGUAAUCCGUAGGGGGCAAGCGUUAUCCGGAUUUACUGGGUGUAAAGGGGGCGUAGACGGCAGCACAAGUCUGGUGGGAAAUGCCGGGGCUUAACCCCGGAACUGCGUUGGAAACUGUGCAGCUAGAGAGCAGGAGAGGUAAGUGGAAUUCGUGGUGUAGCGGUGAAAUGCGUAGAUAUUAGGAGGAACGCCAGUGGCGAAGGCAGCUUACUGGACUGUAACUGACGUUGAGGCUCGAAAGCGUGGGGAGCGAACAGGAUUAGAUACCCCUGUAGUC